CCAGCGGAGGAACAGCUGGAUGGCGCGAGGCUUCCCGGGGAUGCAAAAACAAAGGCGAGGCGAUCAGAGGCACUUCUGGGUCAGAACCAGCACCUGGGAAAUGGGUGGGGAUCGCACAUGAAGAGAAGCUUGAGUUCUGGAAGCCCCUGGUCGUGAUCCUGCGGUGGGGACAGCAUCCGUGCCCCUUUCCACACGGUCUGCUCUUUGGGGCAGGAUGGAAACAGCAGCCCUGCAGCUGGGCCAGAGAUUAUUUGGGCGCCCGGUCUCCUUUGAGGAAGUGGCUCUGUAUUUCACGCGGGGGGAGUGGGCGCUCCUGGAUCCGGGCCAGAGAGCUCUCUACAAGGAGGUCAUGAUGGAGAAUUUCCAGAACGUGGCUGC